GGCCUGGGAUUGGCACUAGAGGCAGCAGAAUAAAUGAGUAAUUUUACAUGGAACCCUCUCUCAGGGUGGGUGAUACCAUUGAAAUUCUGGAAAUAUGUGUUCUGUUUUCCUCAAGAAGAUGCCCUGCCUACAUGUUGUUUAAUAUGUAUUUUAUCAUGGAAUCAUAACAUGUUAGUGAUUAAAAGGUCCUUAGAGCACCAGUAGGCUAACUGCCACUGUCUUAAAAUGACAUAAUCAGAGUCCCAAGAAAUUGGAUGAGCUGCCUGGGACAACACAUCCAGCCAAGGGCGAACCCAAGACGCCUCAGUCUGGUGCUCUUCUCAGGAAGUGCGUGGUGUUUGUUGUUCUUGCUCGUUGUGGGUCUUGUUGGGUCAAUACUCAGACAAAUACAUCAUUAUUCAUUAACUGCAGGCCAAACCAAUAUACACGCCCACAGCUCUGAUCUGCGUCUGCUAAUGCAGGGGUCUGUGACCUCGGGUGGGCUUAGGUCAGUGGACAGUGGCCCCAGGAACCAAUUUGCUUUCACUCUCCUCGUUUCUGGCCCUGGUGUCAGAGUGAGCGAAAUAACCACUGGACGGACACUGUGCUGGACGCUGAGGAUAAAGAAACAAGAAGCAAAUUCCCUGCCUCAAGAGGCAGAAGGUUAAACACAGUCAUCGAGUCUAACUGACAUACAAACCUAAGUCUAAGGUUAAACUCCUAGCCCAGACCUGGGCAGACACAGAGUUCCUGGAGAACUGACACCCAAGACCAGUUCUGAAUAGCGGUUAGCUCCAUGAAGAACUGAGGAAGCGAUGAGGCAGUGGUGCAGUGAUGCUGCAACAGAACCCACAGGGGAAAGGUUCUGGGUUCACAGUUCGGGACCUCCCUGAGCAUGCCCGGUACAAGUGCCUGUGAUAUCGACCAGCUGGGACUGUGGGUGGAUUAUGGCACCUUAUUGGGGGUCUCUCCCUCUCUAUCACCCCUUCUCUCUCUAAUGGAAGAAACGAACUUAAAAAGAACCAUGGAGGAGCAGAAGGGUCCUGUGUGUAAGGCCUCAACGUCGGAGUGAGCAGGUGCAGGGAAAUUAUACUCAGGAGUCUAAACACCAAGGACCCCAAGCCCAGAAUUGUUCCGAAAAGGCUUUUUAAAUGAGUGCCUAUUUUUCAGUCCACUCCAUUAUAACUACUGAAGAGUCAUUUGUUCCUGGGGCAGGCAGAAGAAGAUAGCUGACUCUAUGCGGCUGCAGGUGACCAGUCAGUGACAAACAGGACAGCCUACCUUAUGAGAACCUUAUUAUCAAGUCUCCUCAAGAUAUUAGGGAUACCUGGCUCGCAAGGUAUAUUUAUGACAAUCGUGAGACUUUUAUAUGUCUUAGCAGAUAACAACAUAACUUUUCAAGUGUUCUUUUUUGGACGUAAAGUACCCUAACUUCAGAAAUAUGGUUAACUUUAAAUAAACCAGACCCAAAAUAUUGGUAAUUUUUUUCUUUUGUAGUUCUAGAUGAUGAGAUUGUGUGUGUGUGUGUGAAUUAGAAGGAGGCGUGAAAGAGUUAAGGAGGGUGGGGAAUGACAAAACACAAAGCCAUGGUGGCAAACAGGCAGAAACUCGAGGGCCGUUUGUGGAACAGCAUUCUAAAGUAUUAGGGAGUUGUGGGAGGGUUUCAGAACUUGGUUCUUGGAAAGAUCAUUCUGGAUAGCAGUGAUGGAAAGCCCCAGCUUCUGCGGGAUGCCCCAUCACCCAGGUCAGAGGCAACAACAAAGGGCCUAGAUGUCGGCCCAUCCCGUGGGCUUGUGGGUCAUGCUGGGGUUUCCAGUGUGCUCUCAAUUCCUCUACUUCCCAUGCAUCUUCUCUUCCCAAAUCCCUGCCCUGCAGACUUCAGGUUCCAGAGUUAGUUACAGAGACAGCCUUACUUAGACUGUUUACCCACAACUGCCGAAGUCAGUUCCAUAUAAUGCUUCCCAUGGGCUCAGCUCUAUCUACUUGAACCAUGACUGAUACAGUCACGAGUGAGGGUGACCUGUCAGAGGACACACUGCUGCAGAGAUGGAAGCGACAGUGAAGACAGAGAGGAAGGGAUGGAUCUGAGAUACGCUGAGGAUGUAGGAAAUCAAGGCUUGGUGACCCAUCAGAUAUGGCAGCAAGAAAGAGAGAGGAAUUGAGAAUGAACCAGAAGACUCAAGCUAUGCAAUUGGGCCAAGGAGUUGUGCUACCAUGAUGGGAGUGGAGCAGAAUGGGGGGAUGGAAGGAAUCGAGACCUGAGUAUGAGACUGUUUGAUUUGAAAAGCCCAUAAGAACCUAAGUGGAGAUUUAUAAUAAACAUUGUAUAUAUAAACUCAAAGAUGAAAGGGGAUGUGUAGGGCCACUAUGAGCUAAAACUGUAAGAGUGGGCGAGCUCACUCUGGGAGAGCAAGUAAGGUAAUGAGAUGAGAAUUGCAGUGGAACUCUGGGAAAACUAGGAUUUAAGGGGCUAGCCGAAGAGGUAAAACUAAGAGAGUCAGAGGCUGAAAGGUUCUGAGGGGAAAGCCAGGCUCCAUGGACAAGGAAGAACUGAAAAAAGGAAAGGGGUGGUUGAAUGC